CAGUCGUAACAAGGUUUCCGUAGGUGAACCUGCGGAAGGAUCAUUAAUGAAUGAAAUUGUAGUGGGUUGGUUAGCUGGCCUUUUAGCCCGGGCAUUGUCGGCACACCUCAUUCCAACCAUCCAUUCCUAUCUACCUCUGUGCACUUCUCAUGAGUUGGGCCGCGUCUGAAAUACGACAAAGUCCGGCUCAUGUGCUUUAUACAAACAAAUUAUGUUAUAGAAUGUCACUACCAUGCUUUAAAGCAUAUAAUACAA
rnacentral:misc_RNA from 1 species